rnacentral:rRNA from 1 species
GAUGAACGCUGGCGGCGUGCCUAAUACAUGCAAGUCGAGCGAACAGAUAAGGAGCUUGCUCCUUUGACGUUAGCGGCGGACGGGUGAGUAACACGUGGGUAACCUACCUAUAAGACUGGAAUAACUCCGGGAAACCGGGGCUAAUGCCGGAUAACAUUUAGAACCGCAUGGUUCUAAAGUGAAAGAUGGUUUUGCUAUCACUUAUAGAUGGACCCGCGCCGUAUUAGCUAGUUGGUAAGGUAACGGCUUACCAAGGCAACGAUACGUAGCCGACCUGGGAGGGUGCUCGGCCACCCUGGAACUGAGACACGGUCCAGACUCCUACGGGAGGCAGCAGUAGGGAAUCUUCCGCAAUGGGCGAAAGCCUGACGGAGCAACGCCGCGUGAGUGAUGAAGGUCUUCGGAUCGUAAAACUCUGUUAUUAGGGAAGAACAAAUGUGUAAGUAACUGUGCACGUCUUGACGGUACCUAAUCAGAAAGCCACGGCUAACUACGUG